AGAGUUUGAUCAUGGCUCAGAUUGAACGCUGGCGGCAGGCCUAACACAUGCAAGUCGAGCGGUAGCACAGAGAGCUUGCUCUCGGGUGACGAGCGGCGGACGGGUGAGUAAUGUCUGGGAAACUGCCUGAUGGAGGGGGAUAACUACUGGAAACGGUAGCUAAUACCGCAUAACGUCGCAAGACCAAAGUGGGGGACCUUCGGGCCUCAUGCCAUCAGAUGUGCCCAGAUGGGAUUAGCUAGUAGGUGGGGUAAUGGCUCACCUAGGCGACGAUCCCUAGCUGGUCUGAGAGGAUGACCAGCCACACUGGAACUGAGACACGGUCCAGACUCCUACGGGAGGCAGCAGUGGGGAAUAUUGCACAAUGGGCGCAAGCCUGAUGCAGCCAUGCCGCGUGUGUGAAGAAGGCCUUCGGGUUGUAAAGCACUUUCAGCGGGGAGGAAGGCGNCGAUUGACGUUACCCGCAGAAGAAGCACCGGCUAACUCCGUGCCAGCAGCCGCGGUAAUACGGAGGGUGCAAGCGUUAAUCGGAAUUACUGGGCGUAAAGCGCACGCAGGCGGUCUGUCAAGUCGGAUGUGAAAUCCCCGGGCUCAACCUGGGAACUGCAUUCGAAACUGGCAGGCUAGAGUCUUGUAGAGGGGGGUAGAAUUCCAGGUGUAGCGGUGAAAUGCGUAGAGAUCUGGAGGAAUACCGGUGGCGAAGGCGGCCCCCUGGACAAAGACUGACGCUCAGGUGCGAAAGCGUGGGGAGCAAACAGGAUUAGAUACCCUGGUAGUCCACGCCGUAAACGAUGUCGAUUUGGAGGUUGUGCCCUUGAGGCGUGGCUUCCGGAGCUAACGCGUUAAAUCGACCGCCUGGGGAGUACGGCCGCAAGGUUAAAACUCAAAUGAAUUGACGGGGGCCCGCACAAGCGGUGGAGCAUGUGGUUUAAUUCGAUGCAACGCGAAGAACCUUACCUGGUCUUGACAUCCACAGAACUUUCCAGAGAUGGAUUGGUGCCUUCGGGAACUGUGAGACAGGUGCUGCAUGGCUGUCGUCAGCUCGUGUUGUGAAAUGUUGGGUUAAGUCCCGCAACGAGCGCAACCCUUAUCCUUUGUUGCCAGCGGUUAGGCCGGGAACUCAAAGGAGACUGCCAGUGAUAAACUGGAGGAAGGUGGGGAUGACGUCAAGUCAUCAUGGCCCUUACGACCAGGGCUACACACGUGCUACAAUGGCAUAUACAAAGAGAAGCGACCUCGCGAGAGCAAGCGGACCUCAUAAAGUAUGUCGUAGUCCGGAUUGGAGUCUGCAACUCGACUCCAUGAAGUCGGAAUCGCUAGUAAUCGUAGAUCAGAAUGCUACGGUGAAUACGUUCCCGGGCCUUGUACACACCGCCCGUCACACCAUGGGAGUGGGUUGCAAAAGAAGUAGGUAGCUUAACCUUCGGGAGGGCGCUUACCACUUUGUGAUUCAUGACUGGGGUGAAGUCGUAACAAGGUAACCGUAGGGGAACCUGCGGUUG
rnacentral:rRNA from 1 species